rnacentral:antisense_RNA from 1 species
AUAAUCAAGGACAGAAAAUCAGUAUUGAUGGGGCGAGCCAUGGGACUGGAAGGCAGCAGGCAGAUGUCAGGGUCAGGCAUUGCUGGCUCAGAAGCAGGUAUCAUAGCGUAAGCCCAAGUCUCUUCCAAGUCACAGGGCUAGGAACCAAGAUAUCAGCAGGGGAAGCAGGGGGUGGAGGGCGUAUAAAAAUGACCCAACUACGACCACCAAUAUUACCAUUUACUGAGGCUUCACCACUCAGCAGGCACCCUGAAAAGUGUUUUGUUUGCAUUAUCUUAGUCAGUCCUCCUAGCAGCCUGAUUAGUAGGAGUUGUUACAGAAACACAGAUGAAACCAUGGGUUAGAAAGAGGUUGAGAGUGCUAGAGAAUCUUAUGGCUGCAAAAUGGGUAAGCAGAGACUUCAACCACUGUCUUCUGACUCACAGCCCAAGGGAAAGACCAGGCAAGAGUAGGGGUGAAGAAAUCUCAUGUAGAAGCCCAGAACUUUCAAGAGAUAAGAAGUAGGGAGAUUCUGGUUUAAAGAGAGAUGACGGAAGCCCCGAAUGUCCUGUCUUCUGCUCCCCCAGAUACCUUCAUGGACUACAGAGCUGUACAUACGACUAUUGAAGUUUAUAACUAAAAAUAAACCAAUAGGAAACCUAGCCAUGGCAUAGUGGCUACAUGCAUGGGAUGUGAAGCCACAAUUCCUGAGUUUGAAUCCCAGCUCUGCCUCAUCUUAAAAGUGUGAUCAUAGAGAGGUUUCUUUUUCUCCCCAGGGUCAUGGAAUACAUGAACUUCAGGC